rnacentral:lncRNA from 1 species
CUCCAAACGGCCUCCAAAGUGGGGGGCGGCCCACGCGGGGCUGAAGGGGCGCGGCCAGCAGGGAGGAGGAAGGUGCUACCCAGCUCCUGGCACCGACCAACAAGGGGACGCUGUGUCCUGGACCAGGCCAGGCCAGUCGGGUCAGGGCCGGGUCUGCUCCCAGGUCCCCUGCUUUCCAGGGGCCUUGGACCCCAGGGCACGAGGGACCCCAACCCGAGAGCCGGCCUCAGCGAGCUCCCUGUGUGCCCAGUUUGCGGGUGACCCUGGGGGCCCUCAGGCCUCUGUGCCCCUCCUGUAACAGGCGGAAGCCGCACACCCAGGACUGCGAGGGGUCACCGGAGGCGGCAGGGACAGCCCCUGGAUCAGGGGCUGUGCCCAGGCGGGCACCCUGCGGCUCCUGUUGGCUCGGGGCAGCUCCUCAUGUCCCCGAUGGUCCGGGGGACUCCUGCUCCGGUGCUCAGGGGACACGUGGCCCUGUGCAGUGUGUGGCAGGUGCUGGCGCCCAAGUCAUGGCCUGGGCACAGGGGACCCGGGCCACCCUCGGGGUCCCAGAGGACUCUAGGGCCACGGCCUGGUGGAUGCAGCUCCAGGGUCAGAGCCCAGCGGGGUAGCAGUGGCCUGGCCAGCAGGCCGCCUGUCCCAGGAGGCCCACGAGGGGGCCACCCCAUCUCCCCUCUCCUGUCCCCAGGUCCCAGCCUCGCCCCCCAGAGCCAGCCACACUGCAGCAGAGGGCGCCUGUGGCACUAAGCAGACCCUCCCUUGCCCACAGCCCCAUGGCUCCCGCCCCCCUGGGGUCAAGGCCCCACGGCCACAUGCCGGCCUGGCCUGUAGCAGAGCCACAGGUCACGACAGCCCCUGGGGACCUGUGGGCUGGGGUCCGUCUGUGGCUGGGGAACAGCUCCCAUCCCGGGGCCCAGGCGGCCGCGGUGGGUAACUGGGUGGGUAACUUGUGGAGUGGAUUUAUUUAGCACUUUCCCGUUUUAUCGCGGCAACAUCUCCGCUGCCAGGACCAACCUGAUCCCACUCACCCCGCCACCAUGGCUGAGCCAGCGAGGACGGC